rnacentral:rRNA from 1 species
AUGGCUGCACGGCUCUUUCUGGCCCUUCUUUUAUCAUUCUCCUUCCAGCUUUGCUCUUGUGCUCCCCCAUGGCAGAUCAUGACCACUGGCUCAUACAUGACUCCAGAAGAUCAUGAGAGAAUCUUUCUCAUCUCACCAGAUACCACCUUCUCUUGCGGCUUCCAUCGAGUUGGAACAAAUGCUUUCACCUUCUCCAUCUGGUACACCGCCGUGAAAACGGUUGUCUGGACGGCAAAUCCCUACUCCAUGGUGAAUGGCUACUAUUCCCCAGUGAACAUUUACGGCUCCAGGAUAUCUCUGAAACACAAUGGAAACCUGGUCCUGACAGAUAACAAUGGCUCAAUGGUAUGGGAAAGCAAGACAUCUUCAGGCAAGCACACAAUUGUUUCCCUCCUCAACACUGGCAACCUUGUUAUCAGUGAUUCUGGUAAUAAUACUGUAUGGCAGAGCUUUCACUCACCAACAGACACCUUGCUCCCUUGGCAAAACUUGACGAAAGACACAAGGUUAGUCUCUGGUUACCAUCACCUCUAUUUUGACAACGACAAUGUCUUGCGCCUAUUAUAUGAUGGCCCAGAGAUUACAAGCAUCUACUGGCCAAGUCCAGAUUACAAUGCACUGAAAAAUGGACGCAAUAGAUAUAACAGCACCAGGGUAGCAUUUCUUGAUGACAAGGGUAAUUUUGUGUCAAGUGAUGGGUUUAAAAUAGAGGCUUCAGAUUCAGGUGCUGGGAUCAAGAGGAGGAUCACAAUUGAUCACGAUGGCAAUUUCAGAAUGUACAGCUUGGAUGUGUCAACAGGGAAUUGGGUGGUCACAGGGCAGGCAGUAAUACAGAUGUGCUAUGUGCAUGGAUUAUGUGGUAAGAAUGGGCUUUGUGACUACUCAGGGGGCCUUAAAUGUAGAUGCCCUCCAGAACAUGUGAUGGUUGAUCCAACAGAUUGGAACAGGGGAUGCAAACCAGCAUUCACAAUUGGCAGCAAUCAACCACAUGAGGAUUUCACAUUUGUUAAGCAACCUCGUGCAGACUUCUAUGGCUUUGAUCUGAGCUCUAAUCAAUCCAUCUCAUUUAAAGCAUGUAGGGACAUUUGCCUGAACAGCAGCUCAUGUAUAUCUUUCACAUACAAGGGUGGGGAUGGUUGGUGUUACACUAAAGACAUACUCUACAACGGUCAGGUGUACCCAUAUUUCCCAGGAGACAACUACAUGAAAGUACCAAAGAGUUUCAACGGUUCAGCAUCCUCAAUCUCCAAACAAGAAAGCCUAACCUGCAGACCCAAUGGUUCGGAGAUUAUGCUAGGAUCAGCAAAUAUGUAUGGAAUGAAGAAGGACAGCAUAAAGUGGAUAUACUUAUAUGUCUUUAUUGCAAUAUUGGGAGCUCUAGAGUUGUUUGUCAUUGUGACAGGAUGGUGCCUUUUUUUCAGACAGAGUAGCAUGCCCAAAUCAAUGGAGGAUGGAUACAAGAUGAUAAGAAACCAGUUCAGGCGGUUUACAUACAGAGAAUUGAGUGAAGCAACUGACAAAUUCAAAGAAGAGAUUGGGAGAGGGGGUGCUGGAAUUGUUUAUAGAGGAGUACUUGAAGAUAAGAAAAUAGUGGCAGUAAAGAAACUCACAAAUGUUCAACAUGGAGAAGAGGAAUUCUGGGCGGAAGUGACUCUAAUUGGAAGGAUCAAUCACAUAAAUUUGGUCAGGAUGAUGGGAUUUUGCUCUGAAGGGGAAAGCAGGUUAUUGGUAUAUGAGUAUGUGGAGAAUGAGUCACUGGACAAGUACCUCUUUGGUGAGAGAAGUACUGAAAGUCUGCUCGGUUGGAGCCAAAGGUACAAGAUCGCCUUGGGCACAGCAAGGGGUCUUGCUUAUCUUCAUCAUGAAUGCCUUGAAUGGAUUGUCCAUUGUGAUGUGAAGCCAGAAAACAUACUCCUAAGUCGAGAUUUCAAUGCCAAAAUAGCGGACUUCGGACUAGCCAAGCUUGCAAAGCGAGAUAGCGCUAACUUCAAUUUCACCCAAAUGAGAGGCACGAUGGGCUACAUGGCACCAGAAUGGGCACUGAAUAUGCCGAUCAAUGCGAAGGUCGAUGUUUACAGCUAUGGAGUUGUGCUUCUGGAAAUUGUGACUGGAACUAGGGUUUCAAGUGGCAUAAUUGCCAACGAAAGACAAAUGGGGUUUCCAGACUUUAUCCAGGAGGCCAAACAGAUUCUGGCUACCGAGAAUAUUAAUGAUCUAGUGGAUGCAAAAUUGAAGGGGCAUUUCGAUCUAGAGCAGGCUACUGCAAUGGUGAGAAUAGCUGUUUCAUGCCUUGGAGACAGAAGCAAGAGGCCGACAAUGGACGAAGUUCUGAAGUCUCUUAUGUCAUAUGAUGAUGAAGACUACCAUCCUGCCUAUUCAUAUUGA